GCAACCUGCCCCUGACUCUGGGAUCACCGCUGGAAACGGCGUCUAAUACUGGAUACGAGUAGCGACCGCAUGGUCAGUUACUGGAAAGAUUUAUUGGUUGGGGAUGGGCUCGCGGCCUAUCAGCUUGUUGGUGAGGUAAUGGCUCACCAAGGCGUCGACGGGUAGCCGGCCUGAGAGGGUGACCGGCCACACUGGGACUGAGACACGGCCCAGACUCCUACGGGAGGCAGCAGUGGGGAAUAUUGCACAAUGGGCGCAAGCCUGAUGCAGCAACGCCGCGUGAGGGAUGACGGCCUUCGGGUUGUAAACCUCUUUUAGCAGGGAAGAAGCGAAAGUGACGGUACCUGCAGAAAAAGCGCCGGCUAACUACGUGCCAGCAGCCGCGGUAAUACGUAGGGCGCAAGCGUUAUCCGGAA
rnacentral:rRNA from 1 species